UGGGGAAUUUUGGACAAUGGGGGGAAACCCUGACCCAGCCAUCCCGCGUGUGCGAUGAAGGCCUUCGGGUUGUAAAGCACUUUUGGCAGGAAAGAAACGUCGCGGGUUAAUACCCCGCGAAACUGACGGUACCUGCAGAAUAAGCACCGGCUGACUACGUGCCAGCAGCCGCGGUAAUACGUAGGGUGCAAGCGUUAAUCGGAAUUACUGGGCGUAAAGCGUGCGCAGGCGGUUCGGAAAGAAAGAUGUGAAAUCCCAGAGCUUAACUUUGGAACUGCAUUUUUUAACUACCGGGCUAGAGUGUGUCAGAGGGAGGUGGAAUUCCGCGUGUAGCAGUGAAAUGCGUAGAUAUGCGGAGGAACACCGAUGGCGAAGGCAGCCUCCUGGGAUAACAUUGACGCUCAUGCACGAAAGCGUGGGGAGCAAACAGGAUUAGAUACCCUGGUAGUCCACGCCCUAAACGAUGUCAACUAGCUGUUGGGGCCUUCGGGGCCUUGGUAGCGGAGCUAACGCGUUAAAUCGACCGCCUGGGGAGUACGGCCGCAAGGUUAAAACUCAAAGGAAUUGACGGGGUCAUAGCUGUUUCCU
rnacentral:rRNA from 1 species